AGGACAUAGGAUCACAUGAUCCAGUGAGGAAAAGGUGGCGCAAGCUAUCGCUAAGAGAUGGACCCGCGGUGCAUUAGCUAGUUGGUAGGGUAAAGGCCUACCAAGGCGAUGAUGCAUAGCCGACCUGAGAGGGUGAUCGGCCACAUUGGGACUGAGACACGGCCCAAACUCCUACGGGAGGCAGCAGUAGGGAAUCUUCCGCAAUGGACGCAAGUCUGACGGAGCAACGCCGCGUGAGUGAAGAAGGUCUUCGGAUCGUAAAGCUCUGUUGUUAGAGAAGAACAGCGCAUAGAGUAACUGUUAUGCGUGUGAC
rnacentral:rRNA from 1 species